rnacentral:rRNA from 1 species
CGUCGAGCGGCGGACGGGUGAGUAAUGCCUGGGAAAUUGCCCUGAUGUGGGGGAUAACUAUUGGAAACGAUAGCUAAUACCGCAUAACGUCUACGGACCAAAGAGGGGGACCUUCGGGCCUCUCGCUUCAGGAUAUGCCCAGGUGGGAUUAGCUAGUUGGUGAGGUAAUGGCUCACCAAGGCGACGAUCCCUAGCUGGUCUGAGAGGAUGAUCAGCCACACUGGAACUGAGACACGGUCCAGACUCCUACGGGAGGCAGCAGUGGGGAAUAUUGCACAAUGGGCGCAAGCCUGAUGCAGCCAUGCCGCGUGUAUGAAGAAGGCCUUCGGGUUGUAAAGUACUUUCAGUCGUGAGGAAGGCGAUAUAGUUAAUAGCUAUAUCGUUUGACGUUAGCGACAGAAGAAGCACCGGCUAACUCCGUGCCAGCAGCCGCGGUAAUACGGAGGGUGCGAGCG